GGGUGGGUAGCUCAGUAGUUAGAGCUUAGGUCUCGUUACCAGAAGCUCCCGGGAUCGAAUCCCGCUAGACGCU
rnacentral:tRNA from 1 species